AACGAACGCUGGCGGCAGGCCUAACACAUGCAAGUCGAGCGCUGUAGCAAUACAGAGCGGCGCACGGGUGAGUAACACGUGGGAACGUGCCCUUUGGUUCGGAAUAACUCAGGGAAACUUGAGCUAAUACCGGAUGAGCCCUAACGGGGAAAGAUUUAUCGCCGAAGGAGCGGCCCGCGUCGGAUUAGCUAGUUGGUGGGGUAAUAGCCUACCAAGGCAACGAUCCGUAGCUGGUUUGAGAGAACGACCAGCCACACUGGGACUGAGACACGGCCCAGGCUCCUACGGGAGGCAGCAGUGGGGAAUCUUUGACAAUGGGGGAAACCCUGAUCCAGCCAUGCCGCGUGAGUGAUGAAGGCCCUAGGGUUGUAAAACUCUUUCGGCGGGGACGAUAAUGACGGUACCCGGAGAAGAAGCCCCGGCUAACUUCGUGCCAGCAGCCGCAGUAA
rnacentral:rRNA from 1 species